rnacentral:snRNA from 1 species
AUACAAAAAUACAGUACNACAGAGAAGAUUAGAAUGGCCCCUGUGCAAGGAUAACAUGCAAAUUUGUGAAGCAUUCCAUAUUUUU